CCCAGCAGUCAUUUCUUAAUCCACUUCCUCCUCACUUCAGAAUCUUUUUGAAGUGGUUGACAAGACCUAUAGGCUGGAAUAGUUAGCGUGGCUGGUCAGUAAUGCUAGAAACAGAAACAAUAGGCAAGCCUUAGUGAAGAUAAACAACGUUGGUACAUCAUAGGGUGAGCAGAUUUUCAAAAACCGGGACACAUUGAUGAAUAAUCGCACCCUGAUUGGAACAUAGCCCCCCCAGACUGGAACAUAGCCCCCAGACUUGAAGACAGCCCCCUAGACUGGAAGACAGACCCCUAGACUGGAACCCAGCCCCCCACUGGAACCCAGGCCUCCAGAAGAAGGUACAGAGUUGUGACUCCAGGGUCGAGGAGGAUGGGCAGGUGUCUCAUUCUGGUGUUGCCACAGGCAAUGGUGGAGUCAGAGAGGAU